rnacentral:rRNA from 1 species
UCAACGCUGGCGGCGCGUUUAACACAUGCAAGUCGCACGAGAAAGGGGGGCAACUCCUGAGUAAAGUGGCGUACGGGUGAGUAACACGUGGAUCAUACACCUUUUAGUGGGGAAUAACUUUGGGAAACCGAAGCUAAUACCGCAUAAGCCCGAGAGGGGAAAGUAGUAAUACGCUGAAAGAGUAGUCGCGCGGCUGAUUAGCUAGUUGGUGAGGUAAUGGCUCACCAAGGCAUUGAUCGGUAGCCGGCCUGAGAGGGGCUCACGGCCACACAUGGCACUGAAACACGGGCCAGACCUCCUACGGGAGGCAGCAGUGGGGAAUCUUGCAUCAAUGGAGGAAACUCUGAUGCAGCGGACGCCGCCGUGAGUGCAUGAAGCCCUUCGGGGUGUAAAGCUCUUUUCGACGGGAACGAUAAAGAAAAGUAACCCGGAGGAAGAAGCUGCGGGCUAACUACGUGCCAGCAGCCGCGGUAAUUACGUAGGCAGCAAGCGUUGUUCGGAAUUAACUGGGCGUAAAGCGAGUGUAGGUGGUUGGAUAAGUUUGGUGUGAAAUCUCCCGGCUCAACUGGGAGGGUGCGCCGAAGACUUGUCUAGCUAGAGUAUGGGAGAGGUAGGCGGAAUUCCUGGUGUAGCGGUGAAAUGCGUAGAUAUCAGGAGGAACACCUGCGGUGUAGACGGCUUACUGGACCAUGACUGACACUGAAACUCGAAAGUGUGGGGAGCAAACCUGAUAUAGAUACCCUGGUAGUCCACACCCUAAUUUUACGACAUUCUCAAUGUGAGCGCAUUCAUUUCGUUCGUGCCGGAGCUAACGCGUUAAGUAUGCCGCUUGGAGACUCUGGUCGCAAGGCUGAAACUCAAAGGAAUUGACGGGGGCCCGCACAAGCGGUGGAGCAUGUGGUUUAAUUCGACGCAACGCGAAGAACCUUACCUAGACUCGAACGGCUUUAGACAGGUGUAGAAAUACAUUUUUCCCGCAAGGGACUGGAGUCGAGGUGCUGCAUGGCUGUCGCCAGCUCGUGUCGUGAGAUGUUGGGUUAAGUCCCGCAACGAGCGCAACCCUUGUCCUGUGUUGCUAAUCCGCAAGGAUGCACUCUCAG